rfam:Hordeum vulgare subsp. vulgare, WGS project CAJW01000000 data, contig: morex_contig_53347
ACUAUCAAGCGGAAAAAUUGUCUCUCAGGUUCUGGCCGGACUCGAUCUCGACUACAACCCGGUCGUGUCGACCCUUGCUGCACAGGUAGAGCCCGUGACUGUUCAAGAACUAUAUACCCAACUGCUAAGCUUUGACA